GAGGGUAUAGUUCAGUGGUAGAGCAGCUGCUUCAUGUGCACAAGGUCCUGGGUUCAAUCCCCAGUGCCUUGG
rnacentral:tRNA from 1 species